AUGUCGUGAUGUGGACAUUUCCUAAGGAAGUCAUUAAGGUGCUCCCAUGCCUCAUGAAACAAUUCCCCUUCCCCUUGAGAAAAUUCCCGAAUUAAGGUUCUGAUUGC